GACGAACGCUGGCGGCGUGCUUAACACAUGCAAGUCGUACGGUAAGGCCCUUUCGGGGGUACACGAGUGGCGAACGGGUGAGUAACACGUGAGUAACCUGCCCACAACUUUGGGAUAACGCUAGGAAACUGGAGCUAAUACUGGAUAUGUGCUCCUGCUGCAUGGUGGGGGUUGGAAAGUUCCGGCGGUUGUGGAUGGACUCGCGGGCUAUCAGCUUGUUGGUGGGGUAGUGGCCUACCAAGGCGGCGACGGGUAGCCGGCCUGAGGGGUGACCGGCCACACUGGGACUGAGAUACGGCCCAGACUCCUACGGGAGGCAGAAGUGGGGAAUAUUGCACAAGCGGCGCAAGCCUGAUGCAGCAACGCCGCGUGCGGGAUAACGGCCUUCGGGUUGUAAACCGCAUUCAGCAGGGACGAAGCUUUUUGUGACGGUACCUGCAGAAGAAGCACCGGCUAACUACGUG
rnacentral:rRNA from 1 species